CGGGGCUUGAGUCUACUGCUGAACAUCCACGUCCCGGGAGAAGGGGCCAAAUAGGGUGUCCAAGAGCCACGCUACGGGGCAUUCCAGGGAGGCUGAAAAGAUGCCUGGAUCCCUCAGCUGCAGUUGGUGCUGAGCAGGACAGACUCACUGGCUGGAACCCUGCACUUUCCCAUGUGGCUGCUGCAGAUGAGAUCUUGGAGCACCCGACACAUACUGGCAUGAGGAUCAAACUGGAUUUACAAUUAAAUUAUAGAAACAUAAUCCUGAGUAAUGAAUUGAAGACUAGCUGGAGAGAAGCCUUAUAACCAAGGGCUUACAGAAGAAGCCACAUUGAGUCUGAGACAUGGGAAUAACACAAG